GCCCGAUUAGCGCAGUGGUAGCGCGUGACACUUCUAUUAACCUAGAAAAGGAAUGUCGAGGUCGCGGGUUCGAGCCCCGCAUUGGGUU